rfam:Dipodomys ordii contig_49872, whole genome shotgun sequence.
GGUGGUUCAGUGGUAGAGUGCUUGCCUUGCAUGCAUGAGGUCCUGGGUUCGAUUCCUCAGCACCA